AUGCGAUCUGAAGCCAGAAGAGACCGGGUUCUGUGCGGUAAACCACAACGCGUCAGGAACAGUGAAGAAGGUCGGGACGAUGAAAAGAUAAUUUCCCGGAAGAUGGUAAAUGGAUAUCAAGGGUGUGCUCAGACUACAGCACCAAUACCGACCAGAAAAGCUGGCCCUUGCCCUUCUCAUGCUGUCAGGAAUAGUCACCACAAGCCCCCGGGACCUUGCUCGAGUCUAUCCUGCACGGAUGCCAUCAGAACGUCGGGCAGUCAUUAAUAUGUAGUAAGUACUGAGUAGGACCCAAGCUCUCUGCUAGGUUGUCGGAAUGCAGCAAGCAAUCAGAGAGACAAAGUUCCUGCCCUCAUGCACCCCAUAUCCUAUUAAGCGAUUCCUGAAAAGGGGAAGGUAAAUAACUUUCAGUCCAUUAAACACAGAGAGAAAAUGUUGAGUUACUGAUCAGCUUUACAAAAGGUGAUCUUGUCUUCCAAGAUAUGUUCUUGGACCUUGUCUUGGCUGCCCAAAUCUAUCUGAAGUAUCAUGGGAUCAGAAUGGAAAAUCUGCUGUUGGUUUGGAACAAGGCUAGACAGAAGGGCAGUAGCUGGUCUGGGUUUGGGAUUAAAGCAGGACGCGUGGAUGGAUCAGUUAUUUGUACCCGACUCCGAUUGCUCACAUCCACCAGCUAUGCUUACAAUUUUAGGAGCAGCGAUGUUCUCACACACCUUUCCAAAACUCCAGAAUUCUAAUAAGCAUAAUUAGAUGGUAGAUAAAUAAUGAUUUAAGCCAGUAAGCUCUACUAGAUCUAGUUAUUACAGCAAAGCAUAUAAAAUAACUAGGUAUGCUUUCGAAAAAAGUGUGUGUGCAUGCACAUGUGUGCAUGCAUGUAUGUGCACUUGCUUGUGUGUGUGUGUAUGUGUGUGUGUGUGUGCAUGCACAAUGCUUGCAAGUAGGAGGACUCUCUCCCCCACACCAAAAACAGAAGUCAGGCCUUCUUUUCACUCCUUGCCCAUCACUCAAAACCACUCAACCCUCCCAGAAUCCAUACACUGAGGGCAGGAAAAGGGCAGGUUGGGAAGUGAAGUGAAGACUUUCGAGUCUAUUUUUAAGAGUCAAAAUGUUAUCAGAGGGCCUUGAAAAAUAAUUGGGAAACUUCUUCUCAUAACUCAGGUACUUGAAGCUCCAUAAGUGCAUGAGUCAGGGUUCUCCAGAAAUACCAAACCAACAGGAUGAAUACAAGCGCAGACAUGUGGAAGAGGGUGUUAUUAUAAGAUUGAGUCUGGCGGUUAUGGAGACUGAGAAGGGCACACUCCGCCCUCUGUGAGCUGGAGAGCGGGGAAGCCAGGUGCAUUCAACCCCAGUCCAAAGGCCUGAGAACUGGGGGUGUGUGGGGAGAGUGGAAGCCCCAGGCCGAGUUCAAAAGCCCCAAUUAGGAAGCCUGGUGUUCAGGAGCCGGAAGGAUGCACGACUUAUCAGGCAAAGGAAGAAGUCACCAGCCUCUGCCUUCCCAUUCUAUUUGAGCUAUCCACAGAUUGGCUGAUGGCUUUCUAAUGUCUCUUCUAGACACGCCCUCAUGCACAGGCACAAGCCACGGUCUACCAGCUGUCUGAACAUUCCUCAGCACAACCAAGUCAACACACGAAAUUAACCAUCACAGUAAGUAUUCAGUCAGGAGAUAUUGGCUCUUUUUUCUGCUGGAGAGAGAAAAUUCUUCCAUUAAUCUGUGUUAAUGACACAUUAAUAUGUGUUAAUAUGUGUUAAUGACCAAAUAUGAAAUAUCUUCUUUUUAUUAUUAGCUUAUACAACACAGUGAGUAAGAGCAGAGGUUUGGUUUCAUAAAAGCCUUUUCUGUUUGACCAUAUGGUUCCAGGCGUAUAAUUUAGCAAUUGUAGUUCCAAACAUUUCAUAAACAUUCGGAGCACCUGCCCAACCUUGAGGGUCCUGGGUGAGUGAGAGUCCCUCGCUUAUACCACGCCAACAUGUCCCUGCCGUGAGGAACGAAGUCGCACAGAGGAGCCAGUCCCGGAGAAAGUGACUUAUGUGGGGAGCCCGCCUUGGGGCCUCUGGAGGAGCACAGAAACUGCACAGCACCUCCCUGUGCCUAAAACGCCCGCAGACGAAUUAGCACAACCACGCCCAUUUGCAUAUGGUAAUGCUGACUCACACCCGGCAGCUGCAAGAUAAGAGAAUUCUGGAAGUUUCCUCAGUCUUUAUGCCGCUGAUAUUUAUUGCUUUAACUCCUGACAUCCAAAGUAUAAAACUCAUCUGCAGGGACUUAUUAUUUUUUUUAUUAAAGGAAAACUUGCUAACCAUUUAGUUCCGUGGAUUACUUUUCCUUUCUUUUGUUUUUUUCUGAGGUUUAAGAACACCACUGACGGUUGCUAUAGUGAUUAGUCCAUGAUUAGGAACAUUAUCUACAAUACACCGUUUGGGUGUGUGCGGCGGAAUGUUUUUCCUUUUUGUCCCUCAAAUAGCCCUGAACGUCUCCUAAUAAGAAACAUAAAGAAUAAAUCUCUCUUCUGUCUUCA
ensembl:lncRNA